UUUGUAGUCCAAUAUUUUUUUCCCAUUUUUUUUUGGCCUGCAGAUUAUCAUCUCCACAUAAACAGGCCUGCUGUCACAAUUAUCUAUAUGUAUGAAGGAAGAAAUAAUUAACAUGAAGCAGAAGGUUGAAGAGACAAAAAUGUGUGUGCAGAAAAGAAGCACAAAAAGAACUCUCCAGAGAUCUGGUAAACUCUAUGGGCUGGUUGAAACCAGAAGAAUGGGUAAACUCAGAACUCCGUGUGUCAGCUGAAUCCAGGCAAGGGUACUGUAUAUGGUUAGGUACCUAGACUGCUCCUGUCAGAUUCACAGAUCUGAAAAUGUGAAUGAAAGUACAUCUUCUGCAUUUGUGACCUUCAGCAAGAGCAAAAGUAAACUGAAGGUAAACAGCUUAGUGACAUUUCAAAGGUGGCAUGCUCUAGCAAAAAUACCCUGGAAGCAGAUGAGUAUACUUGUACAGUACAACAUCUCCUCCUUCCCCCGAGCACAUGAGAGAUUGCAUGCUUCUUUGGAGAAUUAAAUAUGCUUUGAUGCCCCAGAAACAGCAUGAAGGGGACCAGAUUCUGCCAGAUGAAACAGAAGUGUAUGGAACAUGUAAGCAUGAAAGGCAAGCUGUAUAAAAAUACUGUAAAAAACACGCUUUUUUUUUUCCUCUCUGAUAACUGAAAUGUAAGUUUCUGAAUUUGCAGCUGAGCUUCUCUAAUAUAUGCUGGUGUAUUUGGUUUACAUGGCAAGGUUUUGGUAGCAGGGAGGCUGCAGGGGUGGCCUCUGUGAGAAGAGCUCAUCGCCUACCCCAUGUUAGAUAAGGGACAGGGACCCCACAUGGA